UACGUAGGGUGCGAGCGUUGUCCGGAUUUAUUGGGCGUAAAGAGCUCGUAGGCGGUUUGUCGCGUCGGCCGUGAAAUCUCCACGCUUAACGUGGAGCGUGCGGUCGAUACGGGCAGACUUGGGUUCGGUAGGGGAGACUGGAAUUCCGUGGUGUAGCGGUGAAAUGCGCAGAUAUCAGGAGGAACACCGGUGGCGAAGGCGGGUCUCUGGGCCGAUACUGACGCUGGAGGAGCGAAA
rnacentral:rRNA from 1 species